rnacentral:misc_RNA from 1 species
CCAUCUCUGUAGCCUGAGGCAGAGAAUGCAUUUACAUUUAUUUUUAGUCAUUUUUAAUGAACAAGUUUUUCUGAUGCUUGCUGGGUUCCCUUUUAAUGGCCUCUUUUCCAGUAACACUUGGUGCUAGGAAUCACCCCUUUUUCUCUUUUGAAUUUUUCUGCUUCUUUCUUCCAUUGCAAUUCCCUUAUCAUCUCACUUUCUUGCAACUUGACCAAUUAUUCCACACCAUAUGCAACCAACCUAAUAAAAUUUUCUCAUUAUUUUUUUAUUAUAUAUUAUUUUAUUUCUAUGAACAAGUGGUAAUUUAGCUCUUUUUUAUUUUUUUUAUAGAUAAUUCACUGUCUAGUAAGUUGAACACGUGGUCUUCCUAGUUCCUACUAUUGUCAAUCUAUGCUGAGAAAUAGAAGUGGCUUGGGAAAAGAGCUUGCUGCUCCUAAUUCUUACAAGGCUAAUUAAACAUUAGUACAUUACGUUUUCUGGCCCAAAUCUCUCUGUUGCAUAUUGGGCCAAGCCCACAGGAC